rnacentral:rRNA from 1 species
GACGAACGCUGGCGGCGUGCUUAACACAUGCAAGUCGAACGGAAAGGCCCUGCUUUUGUGGGGUGCUCGAGUGGCGAACGGGUGAGUAACACGUGAGUAACCUGCCCUUGACUUUGGGAUAACUUCAGGAAACUGGGGCUAAUACCGGAUAGGAGCUCCUGCUGCAUGGUGGGGGUUGGAAAGUUUCGGCGGUUGGGGAUGGACUCGCGGCUUAUCAGCUUGUUGGUGGGGUAGUGGCUUAACAAGGCUUUGACGGGUAGCCGGCCUGAGAGGGUGACCGGCCAAAUUGGGACUGAGAUACGGCCCAGACUCCUACGGGAGGCAGCCGUGGGGAAUAUUGCAACAUGGGCGGAAGCCUGAUGCAGCAACGCCGCGUGCGGGAUGACGGCCUUCGGGUUGUAAACCGCGUUCGCCUGUGACGAAGAGUGAGUGACGGUAAUGGGUAAAGAAGCACCGGCUAACUACGUG